rnacentral:sRNA from 1 species
GGUCUCACCAUGGAGCGGAAAGGUGAGCGGUAGAGCGGCCUCCGCCACGAGGGGCAACGGCCGCCGGGGCGAGGCCCGGGUCAGCGCCGGGAGCUUCGCUUAACUGCUGCGAUUCGGUUCCCGGGCGUGCGGCGCCCCUCCACUGAGGUGGCGCCGCCCAACACCCCCUGCGUCUGGGCUGCGCGUCCGCGCCCCUCAGCCCGGGCGUCCUCCGGCGCCGGCCGUAGCCGCCACUUGUUCCCCGCCAGGCCGGCUCGCGCCUUGGGGCCACUCCAGGGCCCGGCCCUUGGCGGGCGAGGCAGACCCCCACCCGCCCGCCCCCUGACCCGGCCUGAGACCCCUCCGGCGCAUCCCGCCCGGGCGCUGCUCUGCGCCCCGUGGGCCGCCAGCCCUACGGCCGGCCGCCUCGCCGGAGCCUCAGCGCUCGUCCCGCAGCCGCCCCCGAGGCAGGCCCCGCAGCCGGGCCUGGCGCCCCUGCUGGGUCUCCACCCUCACCUUGGUCGCCUCCUUUCCUCCACAUUCGCCCUUCAUCCAUCCCUCUCUCCUGCAGUGCUUGCGCUCCAGGCCCGAAAGAAAAGGACCAAGGCCAAGAAGGACAAAGCCCAAAGGAAAUCUGAAACUCAGCACAGAGGCUCUGCUCCCCACUCUGAGAGUGAUCUACCAGAGCAAGAAGAGGAGAUUCUGGGAUCUGAUGAUGAUGAGCAGGAAGAUCCUAAUGAUUAUUGUAAAGGAGGUUAUCAUCUUGUGAAAAUUGGAGAUCUAUUCAAUGGGAGAUACCAUGUGAUCCGAAAGUUAGGCUGGGGACACUUUUCAACAGUAUGGUUAUCAUGGGAUAUUCAGGGGAAGAAAUUUGUGGCAAUGAAAGUAGUUAAAAGUGCUGAACAUUACACUGAAACAGCACUAGAUGAAAUCCGGUUGCUGAAGUCAGUUCGCAAUUCAGACCCUAAUGAUCCAAAUAGAGAAAUGGUUGUUCAACUACUAGAUGACUUUAAAAUAUCAGGAGUUAAUGGAACACAUAUCUGCAUGGUAUUUGAAGUUUUGGGGCAUCAUCUGCUCAAGUGGAUCAUCAAAUCCAAUUAUCAGGGGCUUCCACUGCCUUGUGUCAAAAAAAUUAUUCAGCAAGUAUUACAGGGUCUUGAUUAUUUACAUACCAAGUGCCGUAUCAUCCACACUGACAUUAAACCAGAGAACAUCUUAUUGUCAGUGAAUGAGCAGUACAUUCGGAGACUGGCUGCGGAAGCAACAGAAUGGCAGCGAUCUGGAGCUCCUCCGCCUUCCGGAUCUGCAGUCAGUACUGCUCCCCAACCUAAGCCAGCUGACAAAAUGUCAAAGAAUAAGAAGAAGAAAUUGAAGAAGAAGCAGAAGCGCCAGGCAGAAUUACUAGAGAAGCGAAUGCAGGAAAUUGAGGAAAUGGAGAAAGAGUCGGGCCCUGGGCAAAAAAGACCAAACAAGCAAGAAGAAUCAGAGAGUCCUGUUGAAAGACCCUUGAAAGAGAACCCACCUAAUAAAAUGACCCAAGAAAAACUUGAAGAGUCAAGUACCAUUGGCCAGGAUCAAACACUUAUGGAACGUGAUACAGAGGGUGGUGCAGCAGAAAUUAAUUGCAAUGGAGUGAUUGAAGUCAUUAAUUAUACUCAGAACAGUAAUAAUGAAACAUUGAGACAUAAAGAGGAUCUACAUAAUGCUAAUGACUGUGAUGUCCAAAAUUUGAAUCAGGAAUCUAGUUUCUUAAGCUCCCAAAAUGGAGACAGCAGCACAUCUCAAGAAACAGACUCUUGCACACCUAUAACAUCUGAGGUGUCAGACACCAUGGUGUGCCAAUCUUCCUCAACUGUAGAUCAGUCAUUCAGUGAACAACACAUUAGCCAACUUCAAGAAAGCAUUCGGGCAGAGAUACCCUGUGAAGAUGAACAAGAGCAAGAACAUAACGGACCACUGGACAACAAAGGAAAAUCCACGGCUGGAAAUUUUCUUGUUAAUCCCCUUGAGCCAAAAAAUGCAGAAAAGCUCAAGGUGAAGAUUGCUGACCUUGGAAAUGCUUGUUGGGUGCACAAACAUUUCACUGAAGAUAUUCAAACAAGGCAAUAUCGUUCCUUGGAAGUUCUAAUAGGGUCUGGCUAUAAUACCCCUGCUGACAUUUGGAGCACGGCAUGCAUGGCCUUUGAACUGGCCACAGGUGACUAUUUGUUUGAACCUCAUUCAGGGGAAGAGUACACUCGAGAUGAAGAUCACAUUGCAUUGAUCAUAGAACUUCUGGGGAAGGUGCCUCGCAAGCUCAUUGUGGCAGGAAAAUAUUCCAAGGAAUUUUUCACCAAAAAAGGUGACCUGAAACAUAUCACGAAGCUGAAACCUUGGGGCCUUUUUGAGGUUCUAGUGGAGAAGUAUGAGUGGUCUCAGGAAGAGGCAGCUGGCUUCACAGAUUUCUUACUGCCCAUGUUGGAGCUGAUCCCUGAGAAGAGAGCCACUGCCGCCGAGUGUCUCCGGCACCCUUGGCUUAACUCCUAAGCCCCUGCCCAGCACCACAGCAGAGAUCACACACUGACCCUCCGCCCUUCCCCUCCAAGCAUUUUCCUCUUCCCUUUUCAGGGUGAAGCUCUUCCUUCAAGAGUUUCUAGAUCUUGUUUUUUUUUUAAUCCAACAUGUUCAUUUGGGCUUGCUUACUUGACCCUGUGGAGAUCCCCACAGCCAUUGGGCAUCCUAGGUGAAUUUGGCGUUGGUUGGGCUCUGCCAAAGACUAAUGGACUAAAAUGUGAAACAGCUUCUUGCCCUGUACCUUUCCUUCCCUUUAGGACAUCCUUUAAAUUAUAAGCAUCCUUUUUGAAAAGAGCUAUGAAGGUGUAUGAGCCCAUCCUUUUAUUCAUUGACUCUAAGAGUCAAAUUUUCUAGUGCAUAUCCUAUUGCCAGCAUAAGGAUGAGGAGGGGGAAAGGGUCUUAAUUCUGUGUACAGCAGAGACAUUAAACUUGCUGUGUCCAGGCUGCAUCAUCUUCCUGGACUGUUUCUGUUGUUCUCUAUGUUCACAUUUUUUCCUGCAACUUUUAAGCUACUGUCUUUUUUAAAUAGCUGUAUGAACACCAAAUUUGGGUACCAUUUUAUCACUGUUCAAAGCACUGUCAAAUUCCUUUCAUCCUUGAAUAGUUAAGAUCUUUGAAUCUUCAGUCUGAUUUUUAAUGUAAGCAAAAACAGAACCAUUGAAUAGUAAUUUCUUGAGAACCUCAGGUGUUCUAUAAACAGUCCUUUCCUGUAUGUCUUCUAUUACCCUAAGACCAGAGUUAUUUUGGUUGGUUGUUUUGUUUUAUUUUUUGUUUUUGUAUCCGUGGCUGGCACUUUACUCAUUGCACUUGAGUUUAUUGCCCCAUAACUAAAGGAUCAGGAUGAUGGUAGAACGGAGAUCUGGGUUUCACAGCUUUCCCAUUUAAGAAAAAUCGAUCUUGAGAUUCUGAUUCUUUUCCAAACAGUCCCCUGCUUUCAUGUACAGCUUUUUCUUUACCUUACCCAAAAUUCUGGACUUGAAGCAGUUUUCCUCUAUGGCGUUGCCUUUCUCAUUUUCUCAGAGGCUCGAGUCUUUAAUACAACCCCAAAUGAAAGAACCAAGGGGAGGGGUGGGAUGGCACUUUUUUUUGUUGGUCUUGUUUUGUUUUGUUUUUUGGUUGGUUGGUUAUUUUUUAAGAUUAGCCAUUCUCUGCUGCUAUUUCCCUACAUAAUGUCAGUUUUUAACCAUAAUUUUGACAUGAUUGAGAUGUACUUGAGGCUUUUUUGUUUUAAUUGAGAAAAGACUUUGCAAUUUUUUUUUUAGGAUGAGCCUCUCCUAGACUUGACCUAGAAUAUUACAUAUUCCUCCAGUAAUACUGAAGAGCAAAAGAGAGGCAGGAUUGGGGUCACAGCCGCUUCUUCAGCAUGGACCAAGUGGGCCUUGGGGAUUGCAGCGUUCUCGAAGUGGCUGUAGGACUCGAAUUUACAGAAAGCCACAGAGGUGCAACUUGAGGCUCUGCUAGCAAGCCACCAGUGAGGCUGUUGGGUAACCACCUUUCUAUACAGGAGAUUGGAAUCUACUUUGUCAGUUAUCCACCAACAGUGACAAAGGAAAAGUGGUGCCGUUAUGCAAUCCAUUUAACUCAUAAACAUAUUACUCUGAGUAACUGGCCAGCCAUUCAUCGGAUCCUUCAUUGGGUACUCCUGAAAUCAGACAUGUUCCUGUAGAAAGAAUUUUAAGUUAGGCUUUCUAUGCACCUAUCAAGAAUCAAGAGAAUAGAUUGUAUCAAACAACGGCAGGGAAAUCCUUCAGCAAUUCUAAUCCACUUUGGGUUUUCAGCUGUUUUUACAUCUAAAGCAAUAGACUAGAACUGAAUUAUCUUCUACAUUGUAAAAUCACAAUUGUGGAAUUACAGGAAUUCUGGUGAUAUUAAGGUGAAAUAACAAAACACACAAAAGGCCCUAUUUUAACAGUUGAUGUGACAGUAAAUUUUAAUAGAGAGAACCUGUAACUUCAUUUUGGAAAUGCUUCUCCACCAAAUAAGGGCUUUUUCCCCUAUUUAAGGAGCCAGAUGGAUUGAAAGAUGUGGAAAUAGGCAGCUGUAGAUCUUGAUCUUCCAGGUACCCCAUGUACCUUUAUUGAGCUUAAUUAUAAUACUGUCAAAUUGCCACGAUCUCACUAAAGGAUUUCUAUUUGCUGUCAGUUAAAAAUAAAGCCCUAAAUACAUUUUUAUUCUUUCUACUGAGUGCAUUGUCUGUUUUCUUUGUAAAUGCCGUACAAUAAACAAAUUAUUUAAUAACCUA